GCAAGGCCAUGUUAGACCCUACCAAAGAUCACUCCUCACACCUGGGGCACACAAGGAAAGGAGCGAGGGACUGACAGGAACAUCCGUCAGCUUCUGCAAGGUCUCAAAAAGAUCAUCACCCACAGAGGCAGAUGUCUCAAGGAAAGACUGUCCUUUGAAUCGGGUCAUGGAAGGUUGCUAGCAGGCUGUGGUCUGUGAACUCACAGAAACUAUAAACCAUCCGUGAAGAAGGAAUGGGUCCAUCUGAAGAGUGCCAAAGGGAAAAGUAAGACAAAGACAUGGAGCAGCCUCAAGGGGAUGAAAUGGAUGAAGGGGAGGAAGAAGAGAAGAAAGCCAGAUCUCAGCCCCAAAGUAAGGCUUCUUGGCAUGGAAGUAUAGAGUUUCUAAAUAGAUGACACAAAUUCAUCUAAAUGAACAGAAUAUGGCUAUACAAAUGUUUAAUGUAUCUGUGAAAAUUACACUUGUUGAAAACUAAUUAUUCACAUUCAAAACCAGUAUUUCAAGGCUUGUGGCUAAACUAAUAUCUGUAAAAGGCAUGGCUUAUGUGUUAUAUUCUGUUUGUGCUUUUCCGUUUCACUUUUAUCUGUUCUGCAGACGAAGGCAAUGGUGCAAAAAGGAGUUUACCAGAAAUGAGUAUUGAGUAACAGUCUGAUCUUAAAAUACUUUUGCAACUUGUUAUGCAAAAAUCACAGUUGCAGAAAAAUUGGUUUCCAUAAAGAGCUAUUAAGUGGAUCAACUAGAUUAUCUCUAGAUCAGAUUUUUUAAAAACCCAUUCUCCUUCACAGAAAACUUUUGUUCUAUUUGUAUACGUUAGAGCAACCAGUACAUA
rnacentral:lncRNA from 1 species